rnacentral:rRNA from 1 species
AUUGAACGCUGGCGGCAGGCUUAACACAUGCAAGUCGAGCGGGGUGAUGGUGCUUGCACUAUCACUUAGCGGCGGACGGGUGAGUAAUGCUUAGGAAUCUGCCUAUUAGUGGGGGACAACAUCUCGAAAGGGAUGCUAAUACCGCAUACGUCCUACGGGAGAAAGCAGGGGAUCACUUGUGACCUUGCGCUAAUAGAUGAGCCUAAGUCGGAUUAGCUAGUUGGUGGGGUAAAGGCCUACCAAGGCGACGAUCUGUAGCGGGCCUGAGAGGAUGAUCCGCCACACGGGGACUGAGACACGGCCCAGACUCCUACGGGAGGCAGCAGUGGGGAAUAUUGGACAAUGGGGGGAACCCUGAUCCAGCCAUGCCGCGUGUGUGAAGAAGGCCUUAUGGUUGUAAAGCACUUUAAGCGAGGAGGAGGCUCUUUUGGUUAAUACCCAAGAUGAGUGGACGUUACUCGCAGAAUAAGCACCGGCUAACUCUGUGCCAGCAGCCGCGGUAA